CCUACGGGAGGCAGCAGUGAGGAAUAUUGGUCAAUGGACGAGAGUCUGAACCAGCCAAGUAGCGUGAAGGAUGACUGCCCUAUGGGUUGUAAACUUCUUUUAUAAAGGAAUAAAACGAGGCACGUGUGCCUUUUUGCAUGUACUUUAUGAAUAAGGAUCGGCUAACUCCGUGCCAGCAGCCGCGGUAAUACGGAGGAUCCGAGCGUUAUCUGGAUUUAUUGGGUUUAAAGGGUGCGUAGGCGGGUUAUCAAGUCAGCGGUAAAAUCGUGGAGCUCAACUCCAUCCAGCCGUUGAAACUGAUGAUCUUGAGUGGGCGAGAAGUAUGCGGAAUGCGUGGUGUAGCGGUGAAAUGCAUAGAUAUCACGCAGAACUCCGAUUGCGAAGGCAGCAUACCGGCGCCCGACUGACGCUGAAGCACGAAAGCGUGGGUAUCGAACAGGAUUAGAUACCCGAGUAGUC
rnacentral:rRNA from 1 species